rnacentral:rRNA from 2 species
UGGCUCAGAACGAACGCUGGCGGCAGGCCUAACACAUGCAAGUCGAGCGCCCCGCAAGGGGAGCGGCAGACGGGAGAGUAACACGUGGGAACGUACCCUUCAGUUCGGAACAACCAAGGGAAACUUUGGCUAAUACCGAAUACGUCCGUAAGGAGAAAGAUUUAUCGCUGAAGGAUCGGCCCGCGUCUGAUUAGCUAGUUGGUGGGGUAAUGGCCCACCAAGGCGACGAUCAGUAGCUGGUCUGAGAGGAUGAUCAGCCACACUGGGACUGAGACACGGCCCAGAGACCUACGGGAGGCAGC